GGCCAUUACAAUGAGGUCAUACAGUGCAAAUGAGGAGGAGAAUAUAAACACAGUUUCACCAUUUCCACUAAGUUCAUUAGCAGAAAAGGAUAACAUUCCUAACGAUGAUUGACAGGUCACCAAGAUAGAAGUGCACAGUUCAAGGACAGUGGAACCCAUGUCUAGACUACAGAAAUUCUAAAUUUCAUUUUAUUUCUCAGACUUUAAAAAUAUA